rnacentral:rRNA from 1 species
UACGAAGGGGGCUAGCGUUGCUCGGAAUCACUGGGCGUAAAGGGUGCGUAGGCGGGUCUUUAAGUCAGGGGGGAAAUCCUGGAGCUCAACUCCAGAACUGCCCUUGAUACUGAGGAGCUCGAGUCCGGAAGAGGUGAGUGGAACUGCGAGUGUAGAGGUGAAAUUCGUAGAUAUUCGCAAGAACACCAGUGGCGAAGGCGGCUCACUGGUCCGGUACUGACGCUGAGGUGCGAAAGCGUGGGGAGCAAACAGG